rnacentral:rRNA from 1 species
UAAUAUUGCCAUAUCAUUCUGCAACUUAAGUCUUACUCACUGAAGCUAAGCAGGGCUGAGCCUGGUCAGUACCUGAGUGGGAGACCACAUGGGAAAACUAGGUUGCUGUUGGAA